CUGGAAUGAUGUGACUUAGCCAAAUCAUAUAAUGUGCUCCAUGUGGGAACAGACAUUGUUUCCAAAGCUUGCUCUCACUGUAAGACUCAAGCUUUGGUUGAUCUUGAUGGACCUCAUGUUGAAGUGCAUUUCCCUGAUGAUAUACCAGGAGAUUGGUUGUUUCCUGACCAGA
rnacentral:snoRNA from 1 species